UGCGACCAACAUGCACGAGCUAUCAAAUGAACUGUGUCAAAUUUUUUUCCAUUUCUACAGAAAUUCAAAGCAGAGAGGCUAUAAAGAACAUUUGCAAAUACCAUAAUCUUUUGUUAGGUCAAAGAAACAGAGAGUUAGACAAGCAAGGAUCGGAUGAAUACAUUUUUGCACAAGUAGUUGAUAAUUGAAGAAGAAAAAGAAGAAGAAGAUGAAGAAGAUAAAGAAAAUGGGAUUUGCAAACAACGUAGGGAAAUUUCAUCUUGGCAGAACAAUUGGAGUAGGAACUUUUGCAAAGGUUAAACUCGCUGUAGACAGCACCAAUGGCAGUUAUGUUGCAAUCAAGAUCAUUGAUAAGCAAAUGGUUGUGCAAAGCAAUCUCAAGUACCAGGUACAAAGGGAAAUAAGAACCAUGAAGGUCUUGAAUCACCCCAAUGUUGUUCGUAUACAUGAGGUCAUUGGCACAAAGACAAAAAUUUAUAUAGUAAUGGAAUAUGUGUCAGGAGGACAACUAUCCGACAAGUUGUCCUAUUCCCAAAAACUAAACGAAUC
rnacentral:misc_RNA from 1 species